rnacentral:rRNA from 1 species
CCUACGGGUGGCAGCAGUGGGGAAUAUUGCACAAUGGGCGCAAGCCUGAUGCAGCCAUGCCGCGUGUGUGAAGAAGGCCUUCGGGUUGUAAAGCACUUUCAGCGGGGAGGAAGGCGGUGAGGUUAAUAACCUCAUCGAUUGACGUUACCCGCAGAAGAAGCACCGGCUAACUCCGUGCCAGCAGCCGAGGUAAUACGGAGGGUGCAAGCGUUAAUCGGAAUUACUGGGCGUAAAGCGCACGCAGGCGGUCUGUCAAGUCGGAUGUGAAAUCCCCGGGCUCAACCUGGGAACUGCAUUCGAAACUGGCAGGCUAGAGUCUUGUAGAGGGGGGUAGAAUUCCAGGUGUAGCGGUGAAAUGCGUAGAGAUCUGGAGGAGUACCGGUGGCGAAGGCGGCCCCCUGGACAAAGACUGACGCUCAGGUGCGAAAGCGUGGGGAGCAAACAGGAUUAGAUACCCAGUAGUC